rnacentral:rRNA from 1 species
GACGAACGCUGGCGGCGUGCUUAACACAUGCAAGUCGAACGGAAAGGCCCUGCUUUUGUGGGGUGCUCGAGUGGCGAACGGGUGAGUAACACGUGAGUAACCUGCCCUUGACUGUGGGAUAACUUCAGGAAACUGGGGCUAAUACCCGAUAUGAGCUCCUGCUGCAUGUUGGGGGUUGGAAAGUUUCGGCGGUUGGGGAUGGACUCGCGGCUUAUCAGCUGGUUGGUGGGGUAGUGGCUUACCAAGGCUUUGACGGGUAGCCGGCCUGAGAGGGUGACCGGCCACAUUGGGACUGAGAUACGGCCCAGACUCCUACGGGAGGCAGCAGUGGGGAAUAUUGCACAAUGGGCGGAAGCCUGAUGCAGCAACGCCGCGUGCGGGAUGACGGCCUUCGGGUUGUAAACCGCUUUCGCCUGUGACGAAGCGUGAGUGACGGUAAUGGGUAAAGAAGCACCGGCUAACUACGUG